rnacentral:RNase_P_RNA from 1 species
AAAGUUUGACAGACAAUCGCUGGCAGCCUUGUUGCUGCGAGAGGAAAGUCCGGGCUCCACAGGGCAGGAUGCUGGAUAACGUCCAGUCAGCGCGAGCUGAAGGAUAGUGCCACAGAAAUGGACCGCCGAUGGCCGGCUUAGCCGGCACAGGCAAGGAUGGAACCGUGGUGUAAGAGACCACGAGGAGCGCAGGUGACUACGUUCCUGGUAAACCCCAUCUGGAGCAAGACCGAGAGGACGCGGCAGCUUCGCGCUGCAGCCUUAGCCCGAGGCGCGUCCGGGUUGGUUGCUGGAGCCGUGCAGCAAUGUACGGCCUAGAUAGAUGAUUGUCGCUUCAUAGUGGGAGGGUCGUUCCCGUUCGCACCACCAGAAGUACAGAACCCGGCUUACGGCAAACUUUCCGC